GCUGGACUAGCUCAGUUGGUAAAGAGCAUGGGACUCUUUAUCUCAGGGUUGCAGGUUCAAGCCCCACGUUGGGCA